GGACAACCUGCCCUUAGGACGGGGAUAAACCCGGGAAACUGGGUAUAAUACCCGAUAGGUCUCGAUUGCUGGAAUGCAUCGAGAUUUAAAGCUCCGGCGCCUAAGGAUGGGUCUGCGGCCUAUCAGGUAGUAGUGGGUGUAGCGUACCUACUAGCCUACGACGGGUACGGGUUGUGAGAGCAAGAGCCCGGAGAUGGAUUCUGAGACACGAAUCCAAGCCCUACGGGGUGCAGCAGGCGCGAAAACUUUACAAUGCUGGCAACAGCGAUAAGGGAACCUCGAGUGCCAGGUUACAAAUCUGGCUGUCGAGAUGCCUAAAAAGCAUUUCAUAGCAAGGGCCGGGCAAGACCGGUGCCAGCCGCCGCGGUAACACCGGCGGCUCGAGUGGUAACCGUUAUUAUUGGGUCUAAAGGGUCUGUAGCCGGCCGGAUAAGUCUCUUGAGAAAUCUGGCAGCUUAACUGUCAGGCUUUCAGGAGAUACUGUCUGGCUCGAGGCCGGGAGAGGUGAGAGGUACUUCAGGGGUAGGGGUGAAAUCUUGUAAUCCUUGAAGGACCACCAGUGGCGAAGGCGUCUCACCAGAACGGACCUGACGGCAAGGGACGAAAGCUAGGGGCACGAACCGGAUUAGAUACCCGGGUAGUCCUAGCCGUAAACGAUACUCGCUAGGUGUCGGCCACGGUGCGACCGUUGUCGGUGCCGUAGGGAAGCCGUGAAGCGAGCCACCUGGGAAGUACGGCCGCAAGGCUGAAACUUAAAGGAAUUGGCGGGGGAGCACCACAACGGGUGGAGCUUGCGGUUUAAUUGGAUUCAACGCCGGG
rnacentral:rRNA from 1 species